UGGGGAAUAUUGCGCAAUGGGCGAAAGCCUGACGCAGCGACGCCGCGUGAGGGAUGAAGGUCUUCGGAUCGUAAACCUCUGUCAGGGGGGAAGAAGCGCCUGUGAGCAAAUAGUUCAUGGGUUUGACGGUACCCCCAAGGCAAGACACCGGCUAACUCCGUGCCAGCAGCCGCGGUAAUACGGAGGGUGCGAGCGUUAAUCGGAAUCACUGGGCGUAAAGCGCACGUAGGUGGCGUGGUAAGUCGGGGGUGAAAUCCCACAGCUCAACUGUGGAACUGCCUUCGAUACUGUCAUGCUUGAGUAUCGGAGAGGGUGGCGGAAUUCCAGGUGUAGGAGUGAAAUCCGUAGAUAUCUGGAAGAACACCGGUGGCGAAGGCGGCCACCUGGACGAAAACUGACGCUGAGGUGCGAAAGCGUGGGGUAGCAAACAGGAUUAGAUACC
rnacentral:rRNA from 1 species